GAUGAACGCUAGCUACAGGCUUAACACAUGCAAGUCGAGGGGAAACGGCAUUGAGUGCUUGCACUCUUUGGACGUCGACCGGCGCACGGGUGAGUAACGCGUAUCCAACCUUCCCAUUACUGUGGGAUAACCUGCCGAAAGGCAGACUAAUACCGCAUAGUCUUCGAUGACGGCAUCAGAUUUGAAGUAAAGAUUUAUCGGUAAUGGAUGGGGAUGCGUCUGAUUAGCUUGUUGGCGGGGUAACGGCCCACCAAGGCUACGAUCAGUAGGGGUUCUGAGAGGAAGGUCCCCCACAUUGGAACUGAGACACGGUCCAAACUCCUACGGGAGGCAGCAGUGUGGAAUAUUGGUCAAUGGACGGAAGUCUGAACCAGCCAAGUAGCGUGCAGGAUGACGGCCCUAUGGGUUGUAAACUGCUUUUGUAUGGGGAUAAAGUUAGGGACGUGUCCCUAUUUGCAGGUACCAUACGAAUAAGGACCGGCUAAUUCCGUG
rnacentral:rRNA from 1 species